AAUCAGCAUGGAGUCCAGCACGCCUUUCUCCUAAACCUGCUGUUCCAGUCCUGCCGCGGAAAAAGCCUCCAUAUCCAUCUCAUCGAGCCACACUGGCCCUGCUCCAGUGAUGUUAACUGCCCUCCCCCAUCUGUGGUCUGCUCACUGUGACUUGGGCCAAAGGCAGUAAAUUGAGGCACAGUAAGCGUUGCUACCAGGGGAAAAGGACUGGAGUGAGCCCCUACGCAUAAUCAACUCCAACAACAGGUCCCGCCUGCCUAAUGGACAGCCCCAUGCCUGUGUUGGGUGGAGGUACCUCUUGCAUCUACAGAGGGGUUCCACUCUUUGUCUGGUUUCCAUAAGGCACAAUCCUAUGGGCAUUCAUACAUUUAGGAAGAGCCGAUGCUGAACGCAGCCCUGAAAUCAGCAUGGAGUCCUGCGCCACCCUGCCAUUCCAGUCCUACCCCCGAAGUACUCUUCAUACUCAUCUCCACAAGCCACGCUGACUCCACUCCAGUGAUGCCGGCUGUCCUGCUCCAGCUGUGAUCUGCUCACUGACUUCUAUCCAAGGGGAGUGAAGUAAGGCGAAGACCGCAUUGACACCAGGCAAUGAGGACUUCAAUGAGCCCUACAAGCACCGGCACCAUCAGGUCCCAGCGGCAACUCGACAGCCUGCGUUUGGAGGAAAACCUCAUCCCACUCCAGAGAGCCUCCACUCUUUGUCUGGUUUCCAUAAGGCACAACCCUAUAGGCAUUCAUAGAUUGAGUUUGGACCCGUGCCUUGGUAAGGAAAAGCCGGUGCCGAACUCCAGCACGCCACUCUCCUAAACCUGCCGUUCCAGUCCUGCCCCCGAAGUACCCUCCAUACUCAUCUCCACAAGCCACACUAACUGCACUCCAGUGAUGCCGGCUGUCCUGCUCCAGCUGUGAUCUGCUCACUGACUUCUAUCCAAGGGGAGUGAAGUAAGGCGAAGACAGCAUUGACACCAGGCAAUGAGGACUUCAAUGAGCCCUUCAAGCACCGGCACCAGCAGGUCCCAGCGGCAACUGGACAGCUCCGUGCCUGUGUUUGGAGGAAAACCUCAUCCCACUCCAGAGAGCUUCCACUCUUUGUCUGGUUUCCAUAAGGCACAACCCUAUAGGAAUUCAUAGAUUGAGUUUGGAUCCGUGCCUUGGUAAGGAAAAGCCGGUGCCGAACGCAGCCCUGAAAUCAGCAUUGACUCCAGCACGCCACUCUUCUAAACCUGCCAUUCCAGUCCUGCCCCCGAAAUACUCUCCAUGCUCAUCUCCACAAGCCACACUGACUCCACUCCAGUGAUGCCAGCUGUCCUGCCCCGGUGCCAGCUGUUCCCAGCUUUACCCCAGUGGAGCCUGUUAACUCCAGCCAUUGCAGUGUUCCCUCAUGUGUCAUCCGCUCUGGCCCUGCUCACAAACACUGCCCACCUUGAUCCUAAUUAAUUCAAUAGGUGUGAUAACCAAAAACUGUUUUUCUCUCCACAUUCUAAUUGAAAAUUAGGAUGUUAUGCCACAACCGUGUGUGAACAGUCUGAGAAUCAGCAUGAGGAAGAUGUGUUGCACGUUUUUAGAUAUAGUUCUGACACGUCUCACUGAACUGUAAAAUGGAGCUUAUGGAGGCGGCAAGGACCACACAGGAAUCCUAACACCUCAUCCACAUCCUCAUGCCUUUAAUAUAUCCCCGCCACCUGUGUUCUCCACCUUGCCUUCAAAUCACUCACUGGACUUGCUGCCUUGUAGAUUUCCAGCCACACAGUGCCUUGAGGACCCUGUGGGUUGUUGACUUUGUCGUCUUGGGUCAUAUUUUGUAGGUGUAAAGUAGGGUAGAGUAGAGUAUCAUUUAUUGAUUCCAAGGGCAAUAAAAGUGUCAAGUAGCAUACAUGCAUAAAUACUGAAGAAGACACAAAGACAUCACACAACAUUGCACAUACAUUCAUCAUACAUAAGGUCAGAUCUCUUUAUCACACACACACACACACACACACACACACACACACACACACACACACA